GGCCGGGGCAGGACGAUGCCCCUUGGCGCGGCGCAGGCGUCGGUGUGGCACAGCGCGGGGUGUGCUCGUGUGCGGCCCCGCCGGGCCCUUGUUCCGCCGAUGGCGGCCGGGCCGGGGCCGUGGCUGCUGGGCUUGGGCUUGGCCUUGGGGCCGGCAGGCGUGUGGGCGCAGCUGAGGCUGGUGGAGGCCGGCGGAGGGCAGCGAGCGCCCGGGGACUCCGUGCUCCUCUCCUGCCGUAUACACGGCUCCGAAUUCAGGACGUACACAGUAAGAUGGUACCGUCAGGCACCCGGCAGCAGCCUGGAGUGGGUGUCCUAUAUCCGCUUUGAUUCAUCCCUGAUUCGAAACGGAGCAGCAGUGGAUGGUCGAGCCACUGUGUCCCGGGACGAUUCCCGCUCGGAGGCAUCUCUGUCUCUCAGUGCCCUGAGCCCAGGGGACUCUGCCCGAUACUUCUGUGCUGCUCGCACCCACAGCGUCAGGAAACGCAGCCGAGUUGCAUCAGAAACCUCCUGGCACAGCCCCAACUCUGUACCCUUCUAG